UCCAGCAGGGGUCAGCUCUCCAGACAGAAUCAUGCCUGUGAGGGUGUUACACUGCUGGGAGAGGAAUGCCCUGUCUUCUUCCUCCAGUUGCUCCCUUCACUGUUCUGGUGACGUGUGGCACUGGUACAAGGCAGUACUGUGCUUCCUUGAGAGUGAGCUAAGCAUCACUUUGGCUGCUUAGUUGUAGUGUGGGAGUAGACACA
ensembl:snoRNA SNORA74 Small nucleolar RNA SNORA74